GAAAUGCGAUAAGUAAUGUGAAUUGCAGAAUUUAGUGAAUCAUCGAAUCUUUGAACGCACAUUGCACCCCUCGGUAAUCCUUGGGGUAUACCUGUUCGAGCGCCGUUUGUGUCUAAGGCUCAGCCUUGCGUUGACGAAUCCCCGGGAGGGGAAGGUCGAAACACAUUGGCGGCUAGCAUGGCUUUGAACGCAGAGAAAUGCGGAAGAAGACAUGGUGGGCGGCCGGUUAACGAAAGCAUGGCCUCGGAUCAGGUAGGGAUACCCGCUGAACUUAA
rnacentral:misc_RNA from 1 species